GAAAAUACCCUUAACCUCCUAACUAUUUACCUAUUAGUUACCAAAAUUUUACACUUUACCCCCCCAACCGAAUUUGCAGCCUAAUUAUUACCAUAUAUUUUGUUGAGAUUUUUAUUCCUUGUAAUCUUCAUUUGAUUGGCCAAAGAUCUAUGUAAUUAUCACAAUAGGGUAGGAGGUUCGUGGUUCCAAGAUUUCUCAUCAUAUCAUUAGAACCACACUCCAAACUCACCUCUCUCUCUCAAACUCGGUCCCCCCCUAGCUGAAUUCACAUUCACCACCACUUAAUCAUUCAUCUUCUCCAACUACAAGUCCAUUUCCAAGCUUGAAGAUCAUUCAUGAAGGUAGCAAGUUGAAGGAACUUCAAGGAAGCUUUGUUCUAAUCUUAUCAUCAUCUUUUCUCUUCAUCUUUGCACUAGAUUCAUCCCUAGCCUUAAGCUAGUAGUAGUCGUGUUCGCUGAGGAGAUUUGGGUUACGAGUACCGAAGACGCAAUAUUAGUUAGAAUGAAGUAAGUAUCGACUGAUGACUAAGCGAAAAUCAAAAUGGACAAGAAAAAUUAUACCGAACACAAGACGAGUCGAAUCGAUGUUUCUCCGGAAAGUCUCUGUUUGAUCUCUUCGAACUCCGGUGACUCGUUAUCGAACAUGGAACGAAAUGACGUCGACGUGAUCCCGGUCAUGAACCCCCGACGUCGUCCUCGUGACUCCAACGAGUUGCGGUUCCUCCGGAGUUGUUGACGCGCACCAGAUGAUUCCGAAGGCUUGGUUGCAAGUUCUCCGGCGGCGUCGGCUUCAUUCCGGCCGCGUGUUACCGAACACAGGGGUGAGAGGGUGUGUCGGAUGGUUGUGUAAUGGAGAGCCGAUGGUUUGUUUUUUUUUGUUUAUAGAAGAGAAGGUUGGGUGCAGAUGUCGUUCAUAUAGCGUUUCUCAAGUCCGACGCUUGGUAGUGGGUCAUUAUUGAUUUAAUUUGGCUUCUUUGUAGGCUUGUAAGUUGUAAUGGUGUUUGAACUAAAUACAACAACCUCAUGGUUCUUUGCUGUCAUCAUUUGGGCGGCAAAAGCAUUCGAAAGGUUUUAAUAUAAUCAAGUGUAUAACAUUAAAGUUGGUAGAACAAACCGACUUCCAAGAUGCGGCGCUGGUUCUUUUUUUUUUCAAAAUGAAAGUUUGAUAAUUUGCACAAU